rnacentral:rRNA from 1 species
UACGUAGGAGGCGAGCGUUGUCCGGAAUUACUGGGCGUAAAGGAGCGACGUAGGCGGCGCGAUACGACCGAGUGUGAAGCCCCCGGCUCCAACUGGGGAGGUCGAUCGGUAACGGUCGUGCUAUGAGUGCAGGAGAGGGAAGUGGAACUCCGGGAGUAGCGGUGAAAUGCGUAGAGACCCGGAGGAACACCAGUGGCGAAGGCGGCUUCCUGGUCUGCGACUGACGCUGUGGCGCGAAAGCUAGGGGAGCAAACGGG